AUAAAGCUGACGAGUCCCAAAUAGAACGAAACGUGUGUCCUGGAU
rnacentral:hammerhead_ribozyme from 1 species